rnacentral:rRNA from 1 species
GAGUUUGAUUCUGGCUCAGAGCGAACGCUGGCGGCAGGCCUAACACAUGCAAGUCGAACGGACCUUUCGGGGUUAGUGGCGGACGGGUGAGUAACACGUGGGAACGUGCCUUUAGGUUCGGAAUAAGCUCGGGAAACUGGGUCUAAUACCGAAUGUGCCCUUCGGGGGAAAGAUUUAUCGCCUUUAGAGCGGCCCGCGUCUGAUUAGCUAGUUGGUGGUGUAAUGGACCCCCAAGGCGACGAUCAGUAGCUGGUCUGAGAGGAUGACCAGCCACAUUGGGACUGAGACACGGCCCAAACUCCUACGGGAGGCAGCAGUGGGGAAUCUUGCGCAAUGGGCGAAAGCCUGACGCAGCCAUGCCGCGUGUAUGAUGAAGGUCUUAGGAUUGUAAAAUACUUUCACCGGUGAAGAUAAUGACUGUAGCCGGAGAAGAAGCCCCGGCUAACUUCGUGCCAGCAGCCGCGGUAAUACGAAGGGGGCUAGCGUUGCUCGGAAUUACUGGGCGUAAAGGGAGCGUAGGCGGACAUUUAAGUCAGGGGUGAAAUCCCAGAGCUCAACUCUGGAACUGCCUUUGAUACUGGGUGUCUUGAGUGUGAUAGAGGUAUGUGGAACUCCGAGUGUAGAGGUGAAAUUCGUAGAUAUUCGGA